rnacentral:lncRNA from 1 species
GGAUAUCCAUCAGGAUCUAUCUCAAACUUUUUUCUUCUCAUAGAAGAUUCUUCUUCUCAAGAAGAACCUUGGCCUUGAAAAUUUUGAUCAACUCCUUUGAUCUUAACUUUGAGAUCAACUCUUUGAUCUAUAGCCUUCUUCUUCUUCUUCUCGAUCCUUGAUCUCUAAGUCACCAGUACUUCUUCUUGGCAUGUGGAAGAGAGAG